UCCCUGGUGGUCCAGUGGUUAGGACUCUGUGCUCUCAAUGCCAAGGGCCCAGGUUCGAUCCCUGGCUGGGGAA